AAAUACAAGUAAGCAAGAUACAGAUGAAGAAGCUCUAGCAUGGAAGCCACAGAUUAAGAAGCAAGAAGACAUUUGGGAUCAAGGGCACAGGGAGUCUCGUAGGUAAAAGGGGAAAGAUGGGACUCAGUGCCAUACCAGCAGCAGCUUCCAGGUUAAUGGAAAUGAUUAUUUCUGUGACUUCCAAGAGCUAUUUUAAAGUUCCCUACAGAGGACACAAAUGUAAAUAAGGCAUGAUUCCUGUCCUCAAGCUGUUCGCCUCUAGAAGAGAGAUG